rnacentral:lncRNA from 10 species
UCUGAGUGUUCACCCCAUCUUUGCUGUACUAUCUCUCUCCAGACUGAAACAGAGUGCAGUAGAAAGGAGAAGAGUCAGGAGUCAGAAGACCUGGAUUCAAAUUCUGCCUUUGUACUGGAUGAAGAACUGUAGACAGGUCCUCAUUGUCACCCAGAGCCUCACAUAUAAGGGCAAUAGAUGGGACGAUAAUCGCUAAACCAUGAGGUUGCUGUAAGAAUGAUAUAAAAUAAUAUAUCAGCAAUAAUAGUCCACGUUUCCCCUACACUUACCAGUGUGCCAGGCACCCUUAAGGGCGUCACACACAUUAUUUCAACCAUUACAAUCUUUUAAGUAUCCCUACUUCUGUAGAUGUCCCUACUUCUGUAGAUGUCCCUACUUCUAUAGAUGAGAAAACUAAGGCUCAGAGAGGUUAAGCAACGUGGCCAAAGGUCACACAGCUUGUAUGUGGCAGAGCAUGAAUCUGAAUCCAAGUGGCGACUACUUCACUACUUUACUGGGCACAGGAUCCCAGCACAUCCAAGUUGGAAGAUACCUUAAAAGCACACCAGGUCCAACCUGCUGUUGACUGCUGAGGAGCCCGAGAGCCCCACUCCUAAGUUGUGUUACAAAUCAAAUCUCCUUUUCACCCUGACCUGCAUCGUAACUUCCCAGAUGAUUCUCUGCAUCUGAAGGCCUUCACCAGACACAUGGCAUCCACAGAGCGAGUAUGGUUCCCUUCAGAGGAGGGCAUCGAGACCCAAAGAAGCCAAGUAAUCUGCCCAGGACCACAUAGCAAGUCUCAGGCUGAGCUGGGAGUCCAGCCUCCUCCUGCAGGCUCUUUGCUGCAAAGCCUUGUGUUACAUGUACUUGGUGGGGCUGGGGGCAUUUGAUGCUGGAGAGAGGGUAGUGUUUCUGAGACCUCUGUGUGUCUCUAAAAGCAUCUAGGUAUGACCCUUGAUGGCUUGUGAUCUAGAUUCUGAUUAGAUGUGGGCAAUAAUUUCUCCUCCUCUCCCUGAGACCCAGCCCAAUGUGGAGCUUUGUGUCAAGUAUGGCUGCAUUCCUGUUGUGCCCAUCCCAGUGCCAGCUACAGACUUGGUGGCCCAUGGAGUGGCUCGCACUGCUGGUUGUCUACUCAAUAUUCAUUCAGAUUUCUGUAUCAAAGUGAUAUCAGCAUGCCCAGCCUCAAGUGAUGAAGUGUGAUGGGUCUAAAUCCAUCAUGGUAAUCCGUUUCCUCUUUGCCAGUGAUAGGCUUGUGAGUUGCCGAAUGACACAGUUCCAACCAACAAGAUGGGAAGGAAGUAAAUGGGAACCUCCAGGAAAGAUUUUCCUCCCGAAUGAAGACACACACGGGGGAUCUUUUUUACAAGAG